AUGCCAAUCUUGGCUGUUCCUCAUUUGGAUUCGAACCUAAUCUGCGCACCUGUCACCUUCACAAGAAACACAGUUCAUCAGCACCAACCGACCUGGUGACGAAACCACCGUGGAAACACAGCGAUAUUUCACACUGGCCGAAGGAACUCGUUGGCCCCUGCGCAGAUCACACGUGUCCGUCAGGGAGGCGAUGCAGUGUGCAUCGUGUGACUAAAGCCCCGCUGUGUUUAGAAGCUGAAAUCUAUCAACCAGAUGUCUGUCCUGACG
rnacentral:lncRNA from 1 species